AUUCUCCAAUUAUGGUUUGCAAGCUGCUUGCUAUACAAGGCAUCCUGCUGGCCUUCCGUUUUCUGCUAGUUUAAACAUUUCUACAACAGUCGGUGGCACAGUGAUGGAUACCUGGGAGCCUCCUGCAGGAACAUCUACUCUUCGAGACCUGAGUGGAUGCAGAGGCUCAGGUGGCGCUGUAAUGCCGGGUUCAGAGAUGCCCAACUUAGGGCCCUGCUCUACUGGAGUCUGUUCUCUGUCUGCAGUCCUCUCUAAUGUCACUGCAUGUGGGCCCGAGGAGGUUUGCCAAGCGGACAACACGUAAAUAUGUGCUCUUUAUAUCAGGAAUAAAGGUCUGACUGAUUUGAAUAAAGUGUCCCAUGUGAUCGAACCCUCCAUGAGAGAGUGAGGAUAUUAUCCACCUGAGGAUUAUUGCAGUUAUUGAUGAAUCUGUUCCUAUUUCUAUUACCCCUUUCCACCAAAGCAGUUCCAGGGUCAGUUCAGAGCUAGUGCCCGAUAGCUCACCAGUCCUUUCAUUGUUUCCAUGAGCAAAACUGGUUGGUGUUAGGAACCAGAGCACUGCUGAACUGGAACCAAGAACCAGAUCUGUGUGGAGGCUGGGUCAGAUCACUAGAGCCGUAGAGAUACGUUCGCUCUCACGGCCCGUUUUGAGGAGCAGCACGACCCGUUCUCCUGUUGUUUUCAUACCAGCUUUCAGGUGUGAUCACUACAUACUGUAGGCUACACAAGUUUUCAGAUCAGAUCACAAGUGAAAUCCUAUUGAAAGAGCGCCGGUAGAAAACGGAAAAUGACUCAAUGAUAGCAACAUGUACUCAUACAAAGCAUUUAUGGUGAAUAAUUAAAACGCCGUAACCAUCUAAUGUUCAUAUCAUGUGUUAUAUAUUUUAAAUAAGUUUAAUUUAGUUUGUUGGCUCUUAAUCUGGUUAUUGCUUCUUCAGACUGGCUAUGCUAACAUCAUCCAUAUGAUACAGGGAAACGUUUGGCAGUUAACGUCAAACAUUGUACAUUAAAACUGAACAAAAUAUGAAUCACUGGGGAAAUCUGCAUCUGUUGCUUUAGUGACAGUCAGCAGUGAAUUACUGACUGUCACUAAAGCAACGGUGAAUGCCUCUGAAUCCUAGUGGGAACAGUUCAACCUGGAUCUGAAGAAGAGCAACGAGAGCACAGCUCCA